UACGUAGGGGGCAAGCGUUGUCCGGAAUCAUUGGGCGUAAAGCGCACGUAGGCGGCCCGGUAAGUCCGUUGUGAAAGUCAGAGGCUCAACCUCUGGAGGCCAAUGGAUACUGCCGGGCUAGAGUCCGGAAGAGGCGAGUGGAAUUCCUGGUGUAGCGGUGGAAUGCGCAGAUAUCAGGAGGAACACCAAUGGCGAAGGCAGCUCGCUGGGACGGUACUGACGCUGAGGUGCGAAAGCGUGGGGGAGCGAACAGG
rnacentral:rRNA from 1 species